rfam:Loxodonta africana unplaced genomic scaffold scaffold_11, whole genome shotgun sequence.
CUAAAGGCUCUUUUCAGAGCCGCUUAAGUUAUCUUAAGAAGGCGG